rnacentral:rRNA from 1 species
UGGGGAAUCUUCCGCAAUGGACGAAAGUCUGACGGAGCAACGCCGCGUGGGUGAUGAAGGUUUUCGGAUCGUAAAACCCUGUCAAUGAGGACGAAUGGUUGUCUUGCAAAUAGUGGGAACACAUGACGGUACUCAAGGAGGAAGCCACGGCUAACUACGUGCCAGCAGCCGCGGUAAUACGUAGGUGGCAAGCGUUGUCCGGAAUUAUUGGGCGUAAAGGGCGCGUAGGCGGAUAUUUAAGUCUGUCGUAAAAUGCGGGGCUCAACCCCGUAGUGUCGAUGGAAACUGGAUAUCUUGAGAGCAGGAGAGGAAAGUAGAAUUCCCAGUGUAGCGGUGAAAUGCGUAGAUAUUGGGAGGAAUACCAGUGGCGAAGGCGGCUUUCUGGACUGUUUCUGACGCUGAGGCGCGAAAGCUAGGGGAGCGAACG